rnacentral:rRNA from 1 species
CCUACGGGAGGCAGCAGUGGGGGAUAUUGCACAAUGGGGGAAACCCUGAUGCAGCGACGCCGCGUGGGUGAAGAAGCGCCUCGGCGCGUAAAGCCCUGUCAGCAGGGAAGAAAAUGACGGUACCUGAAGAAGAAGCCCCGGCUAACUACGUGCCAGCAGCCGCGGUAAGACGUAGGGGGCAAGCGUUAUCCGGAUUGACUGGGUGUUAAGAGGGCGCAGACGGCGCUGCAAGCAAGGAGUGAAAGCCCAGGGCCCAACCCCGGGACUGCCCUUGGAACUGCGUGGCUAGAGUGCAGGAGGGGCAGGCGGAAUUCCUGGUGUAGCGGUGAAAUGCGUAGAUAUCAGGAGGAACACCGGUGGCGAAGGCGGCCUGCUGGACUGCAACUGACGUUGAGGCCCGAAAGCGUGGGGAGCAAACAGGAUUAGAUACCCGUGUAGUC